rnacentral:rRNA from 1 species
CCUACGGGAGGCAGCAGUGGGGAAUAUUGGACAAUGGGGGGAACCCUGAUCCAGCCAUGCCGCGUGUGUGAAGAAGGCCCUCGGGUUGGAAAGCACUUUCAGUGAGGAAGAACGCCUGGUGGUUAAUACCCAUCAGGAAAGACAUCACUCACAGAAGAAGCACCGGCUAACUCCGUGCCAGCAGCCGCGGUAAUACGGAGGGUGCGAGCGUUAAUCGGAAUUACUGGGCGUAAAGCGCGCGUAGGUGGCUUGAUAAGCCGGUUGUGAAAGCCCCGGGCUCAACCUGGGAACGGCAUCCGGAACUGUCAAGCUAGAGUGCAGGAGAGGAAGGUAGAAUUCCCGGUGUAGCGGUGAAAUGCGUAGAGAUCGGGAGGAAUACCAGUGGCGAAGGCGGCCUUCUGGACUGACACUGACACUGAGGUGCGAAAGCGUGGGUAGCAAACAGGAUUAGAUACCCUUGUAGUC